UAGGUUGAGCCUACGUCGGAUUAGCUAGUUGGUGGGGUAAAGGCCUACCAAAGCGACGAUCCGUAGCUGGUCUGAGAGGAUGACCAGCCACACUGGGACUGAGACACGGCCCAGACUCCUACGGGAGGCAGCAGUGGGGAAUCUUGGACAAUGGGGGAAACCCUGAUCCAGCGAUACCGCGUGUGUGAAGAAGGCCUUCGGGUUGUAAAGCACUUUAGG
rnacentral:rRNA from 1 species